CUAGGCCCCACUCUGUGAUCUCCUACGAGUUCCUUAGCAACCGUGGAAUCUAACCUCAGAAGACACCAAAGUCCCGCAUGCAUAAGGACACGGGCGUGAAACACUCUAGAGCUCCUGUCCACACCUGCGUGAUGAUUCCCACUCGGAAAUCUCUGCCAAUGCCCUUCCUCUGGACUCCAACUCCCCUUCAUACUAGCACAUCCUGAAAUUCCUUUUUGUGGUGACGCGAAGCUCAGCUGAAUCUGAAGGGGGCGCUCUGCAAGGAAGGCAGCCACUGCAAGAGGCCGCAGUGACCUGAGCCCGCUCUCCUGAGGUCAUCCUUGCUCACGACUUUGCUCUCCAGCUGCUUCCUGGCUUCCUUGCUCAUCUUUUAUAAUCCAUUUUCCACGCUGCAGACAGUGAGCUUUGCAAAAUGGAAAUUCGAAGCCAAGGUGGACACUGGUGAAAGGAUGGUCUGCUAAAGCAAGCACGUGAAAGGUCACAUGAUGGAGGAUUCUUCGCUAACGACAGAAAUAUAUUGGUCUGCCUUAAGUAGUUGAGCUCCAUUUGUUGGGACUCCAUAGAGAGAAAUGCACUUCUGAUGGUGUGCUGCGGUUUCUUGUUGAUUCUACAGAUUGGAGUGACUGACAGAGUGAUGUCAGCUGAGACAGAUUCAUACGCCGAGGCAAGACACUUGCUAAGGCAAGACCUGUGAGCACAUGAGAUGUCUAGAGGGAGUAUAAAAAGGACUCGAUGGACAGUGGCAGAGGCUGAGCUAGGCUUGCUUGCAUAGCUAAGUGCUUCUUGGUCUUUGCUGAGAGAAGCACAGCUGAGAACUUUUCCUAUUGGUCUUGGCACCCUCCUGCUGACUCCUGCUGAGGCUGCUGCUAUCCAGACUGCGGAACUGGACUGCUGGUGUGUCCGUGAAGUGUUUGCUAGUGGAUCAAGUUGCUACUGCUGACCUGUGAAUUGAACUGCCGAUUUCCAGACAACACAAAGUUGCUCCAAAGAACCUUUCCAAACAGGUCCGCUCCCCCUCAACCCCUAUCCU
rnacentral:lncRNA from 1 species